AAAGCACGACAUUGCUCACAUUGCUUCCAGUAUUACUUUAGCCAGCUUCUAGCUGGCUUUUUUUU
rnacentral:antisense_RNA from 2 species